CCUACGGGUGGCUGCAGUGAGGAAUAUUGGUCAAUGGCCGGAAGGCUGAACCAGCCAAGCCGCGUGAAGGACGAAGGUGCCAAGCAUUGUAAACUUCUUUUGUCAAGGGACAAAAUCAGGCUCGAGAGCCUGACCGAGGGUACUUGAAGAAAAAGCAUCGGCUAACUCCGUGCCAGCAGCCGCGGUAAUACGGAGGAUGCGAGCGUUAUCCGGAUUUAUUGGGUUUAAAGGGUGCGUAGGCGGGCUGUGACGUAAGCGGUAAAAGCCCGGGGCCCAACCCCGGCGAGCCGUUGAAACUGGCUGUAUUGAGAUGGCGAGAGGUAUGCGGAAUGCGAGGUGUAGCGGAGAAAUGUUUAGAUAUUGCGCAGAA
rnacentral:rRNA from 1 species